UACGUAGGAGGCGAGCGUUGUCCGGAAUUACUGGGCGUAAAGAGCGCGUAGGUGGCGCGAUACGACCGGUGUGAAAUCCUCCGGCUCAACUGGAGGGGGUCACUGGUAACGGUCGUGCUAUGAGUGCAGGAGAGGGGACGUGGAACUCCGGGAGUAGCGGUGAAAUGCGUAGAGACCCGGAGGAACACCAAUGGCGAAGGCGGCGUCCUGGACUGCGACUGGCGCUGUGGCGCGAAAGCUAGGGGAGCGAACGGG
rnacentral:rRNA from 1 species